rnacentral:lncRNA from 1 species
AAUUGCUUUACAGAAUUUUGUUGUUUUCCUGCAAACCUCAGCAUGAAUCAGCCAUAGCCAUCUGUAAAGACAUGGAGU